rnacentral:rRNA from 1 species
CCUACGGGCGGCAGCAGUGGGGGAUAUUGCACAAUGGGGGGAACCCUGAUGCAGCGACGCCGCGUGGGUGAAGAAGCGCCUCGGCGCGUAAAGCCCUGUCAGCAGGGAAGAAAAUGACGGUACCUGAAGAAGAAGCCCCGGCUAACUACGUGCCAGCAGCCGCGGGAAUACGUAGGGGGCAAGAGUUAUCCGGAUUUACUGGGUGUAAAGGGGGCGCAGACGGCGAUGCAAGCCAGGAGUGAAAGCCCGGGGCCCAACCCCGGGACUGCUCUUGGAACUGCGUGGCUGGAGUGCAGGAGGGGCAGGCGGAAUUCCUGGUGUAGCGGUGAAAUGCGUAGAUAUCAGGAGGAACACCGGUGGCGAAGGCGGCCUGCUGGACUGCAACUGACGUUGAGGCCCGAAAGCGUGGGGAGCAAACAGGAUUAGAUACCCGAGUAGUC